GACAUAGCGUUCAUCACCAAAUCUUUCUUAAAAAUAACCUGGACCCAUAUUGCAUCAUUGAUCCUCACGUUUCACAGAGAUUUAAAGAAACCUGGAUAGAAAACGAAAGACAGGGUGUGGUACAUCGUGUCAUUCAGUCUCUUCAUGGGAUGUUUUCUAGGGCACUGAGCUGAGAAAUGGUGUAAUUUUCUAAGUAUAGUCCUGGCAGAAGGCACUGAUUCUCCAGCCUGCCAGCUUGAAACUUGGCUAGUGUUUCAUAAUGACUGAAAAACAGAUGGUCCUGUUAGCGAUAAGCCAGAAAGUGAUGGAACAGGGAAGCUUUCCGGAAAGCCAGGUUCAAAGGAUCAGAAGUAUUACAAGCACCCCUGCAGCAGUCAAGGGUUUGAGGGUCCAACAGCGGCGGCUUGGCAGCGACUGGAAUUUGAAAUUUCAACCCUCAAAUCAAUAAGCCCAAAACCUCAACUGCUGAGCCAUCCCUGCACAUGCAGCUAAAAUUAAACAAAAGUAAUGACUUGUGUCCACUUUGUGUGCUUCUGUCCCAGCCUGACCUCAGCCUUAGCGAGGAAAGCAUUCAGCAGAGCCCACGUCACCGACAACCCGGUAGUGGUAUGCGCAAAAAUGCGCUCACCUUCCAGACACAGGCGCAUAGUGAUCGCAGGGAAGAAUUAGCUGGGGUAAUUUAGGCCAGAGAGUGUGUCCCAUGCUUUAUUAACGGCACUGACCUUUCGUAUCUGUGUCCAUGAACCUGCGGCUGACUUGGCCACGUACCAAACGAAGCAGCACGCUCAGGGCACGCUACAUUUAUAGAAAUCGCACCAUGAUAGCUCUGCUAAGUGCUGGAAUCUGACUACAGGAGUUUGUUUAAAGCUUUAAUGCUUGCUGAGAUCUCAGCUGUCAACGAAACCAUCAAGCAAAUCCCACGAAAUAGUAUCUUCAUUGUAUUGUCCUUUAUGAAUCAUUGUCCUUUUAAACGCAUCACUUGAUCAAAGUUGCUCUCGUGCGUCUCAUGUAAUCUAGUUCUUAGCAGAGAAUGUAGACCAAGGGAUUUUCCUUUGGAAAUCCCAUUUUGAAGAACACUUCGUGCCUGCAAGAAGCACUUGUCUUCAUAUCUACUAACAAUCGUAGUGCAAAGAUGCUUGAAAGGUUGGUGAUCCGGGAAUAGUAUGUUUUUUAGUUUCGUAGGCUUAAAGGAGCUUAAAGGAUGUUACUUCAAAGAAUUGUUUUAUAGCUGUCCAAGAUGUUACCGCUGAAGUCUUAGAUUAUUGUUCCUGCCUACCAGGAUUUGCAGUUUCCUGAUGUUUUAUCUCAUCCACCUUAAGGAUGCACAUGGUACGGGAUGCUUUUCUGCUCACCGUGUUUGUAUAGACUGGUAAAGCCUUCCAUCUCUCUUCUAGUCUCCUUUGAGCUCUCAUAGCAACAAAGCAUUUUUGACUGCAGAACUGGGUGUUUUGUUUCCUCCAUUUCUUAGACACGCCAUUCCUUAUGCAUGCAAAUCUUAAAUAUCUCAACCAGCACAUCUUGCACCAAUAACCACAGUCACUGAGAUGGCAUUCCUUACGCAUUCUGAUGAUGUUUGACAUGGCAUUACAACCCUAAUGACAUCCUCAUCUCACUACACACACUCGGAUGGCAUCCCUUCCUUCCACACAUCAUCAUGAGAGACCAGAUGAAAAGCUUCCAGCCAGACAUGACUUUUAAUAAACCAAUAGCAUUUCAUGCAGAUUUCACCAAAGUCUCAGAAUUAUUUAGUCGGUGAACUAGGAACAAAGCUAGAUGUAAGGCAUAACGUAAAACGAAUGCAGAUCUAAUUGCAAGACAUUACAACAUACUCUAUAUAUAAGAGGUAGAUAAAAAUUUGAGGCCUGCUUGUAAUUUUUCAGCUUACUACCUGUGGUCAUUUUAUUUUAUAGCAGAAUCUGUGUAGGUAUGCUUUUGUAAAAGCUCUAAUAACCAGACUAUGCACAUAAUCAGCCAAAUUCCUUCUUUUUCAUGGAGCUUGCAGAAAGAUUUGGCUAGCGAUCUGGUUACGAUCCGUCCCCUGAAAAGUAUUCACAAUGUUUCGGACGCACAAAAUUAUACGUUCAUGUUCUGGCUGCAUGGUUCGAAUUUUCAUUUAUCAUUAGGUUAAAGCUGACUUGCAGAGGGGAAAAACGGCAGCUCUUAUACUGCACAGUCAUGGAUUUGCGUACACUCUCCCUUCCUGUCCCUCACACACUCUUUCCCUUCCGUCUCCUCCUCUGUCACUCCGUCUCUCUCCUGCCUUUUCCCAACCCAACAUUCCAGCUCAAAUGCUUGCACCUUGACCCCUUUGCGCACUAUUUGUGAGGAGUGCUUCUGGCCGACGUGCUGUCUUUGCUUAUCGUUACCAUGAGGCCCGUGCAGGGUGUGUGUGUGUGUGUGUGUAUGUGCAUGAGUGAAUGAGAGAGAGAGAGAGAGAGAGAGAGAAACAUGGCCAUUUUGUUAGUGACGUUAUGAAACACACAGCAUUGAUCAGGAGCUGCAGAGUGAUGAGACCCCAUCCCGUGCCUUCCCUCCCUCCUCACUUUGUUCAUGGUUCCCUCCUUCCUUCAUUCCUUCGUUCUCUUUGCCCUCAUUUUCUCUUUCUUUGUCUGGCUGUUGCGUUUUGUUUUUCUCCAUGUCCUGUUCACCCAUCUGUCAUGACAUCAUUUU